CACGAACGCUGGCGGCAGGCUUAACACAUGCAAGUCGAGCGCCCCGCAAGGGGAGCGGCAGACGGGUGAGUAACGCGUGGGAAUCUACCCAUCUCUACGGAAUAACGCAUGGAAACGUGUGCUAAUACCGUAUACGUCCUUCGGGAGAAAGAUUUAUCGGAGAUGGAUGAGCCCGCGUUGGAUUAGCUAGUUGGUGGGGUAAAGGCCUACCAAGGCGACGAUCCAUAGCUGGUCUGAGAGGAUGAUCAGCCACACUGGGACUGAGACACGGCCCAGACUCCUACGGGAGGCAGCAGUGGGGAAUAUUGGACAAUGGGCGCAAGCCUGAUCCAGCCAUGCCGCGUGAGUGAUGAAGGCCCUAGGGUUGUAAAGCUCUUUCACCGGUGAAGAUAAUGGCGGUAACCGGAGAAGAAGCCCCGGCUAACUUCGUGCCAGCCGCCGCAGUAAAAC
rnacentral:rRNA from 1 species